rnacentral:rRNA from 1 species
AUACGGAGGGUGCAAGCGUUACUCGGAAUCACUGGGCGUAAAGCGCGCGCAGGCGGCUUGAUAAGUUGGAUGUGCAAGCCUACGGCUCAACCGUAGAACUGCAUCCAAAACUGUCAGGCUAGAGUGUGGGAGAGGAAGAUGGAAUUAGUUGUGUAGGGGUAAAAUCCGUAGAGAUAACUAGGAAUACCAAAAGCGAAGGCAAUCUUCUGGAACACUACUGACGCUGAGGCGCGAAGGCGUGGGGAGCAAACAGGAUUAGAUACCCUAGUAGUCC